UCAAGACUUUAGCAUGUUUUGAUAGCCUUAAUGUAUGAACAAAUUUUUCAGCUUAGUAACAAAUGUAUCACACGUUUUUAUAAAUACUCAAAAAAUUAUUUGAAGUAACAAUGUAAUUUUUGAAGCUAUUAAUAAUAUAUUUUUCAGAUUUUCCAGACCUUCACACAACUUAAAGAGUUAUUCAUAGCCCGAGCUAGGGUAUGGCAAUCUACCGAGACUCGACUCGCAGUGAAAAGAUACUUUAUCCGUUUCGAGGACUGCUGCGUGGCGAUUGUCGGGCAGAUGGACUGUUGUGUUGGCCCCUUCGGUCGGUUGGCCGUAUUUACAGUCUCGGCGGCGCCAAGUGGGAAAAAAGGGCAGCACAAAGGCAGCACAACUUCAUUUUAAUGGAGUAGACAACGUCGGCCAUGGCGACACAAAACGGGCGCCACUCUGCCUUCUGGUUGGUCCUGCGUGGAUCCUGCGAGGCCACGCCCCUUUUUGCCACACUGAGUGCGCCCUUCUAUCCAAAUAGUGUGGGCGUCACGACCCUCUUGCUUAAUUGUGGCAUUAAAUUUUAGUAUUAGCAGUCAUAA